UACGAGGGGUGCAAACGUUAUUCGGAAUCACUGGGCGUAAAGGGUGCGUAGACGGCGAACCAAGUCAAUUAUUAAAUCUCCUAGCUUAACUAGGAGUCUGUAAUUGAGACUGGUUUGCUUGAGGAUGGAAGAGAGAAGUGGAAUUCUCGGAGUAGCGGUAAAAUGCGUAGAUCUCGAGAGGAACACCGAUGGCGAAGGCAGCUUCUUGGUCCAUUUCUGACGUUGAGGCACGAAAGUGUGGGGAUCAAACAGG
rnacentral:rRNA from 1 species